GUGGGGAAUAUUGGACAAUGGGCGCAAGCCUGAUCCAGCCAUGCCGCGUGAGUGAUGAAGGCCUUCGGGUUGUAAACUGCUUUUGUACGGAACGAAACGGCUCUGGUUAAUACCCGGGGCUAAUGACGGUACCGUAAGAAUAAGCACCGGCUAACUACGUGCCAGCAGCCGCGGUAAUACGUAGGGUGCAAGCGUUAAUCGGAAUUACUGGGCGUAAAGCGUGCGCAGGCGGUUGUGUAAGACAGGCGUGAAAUCCCCGGGCUCAACCUGGGAAUUGCGCUUGUGACUGCACAGCUGGAGUGCGGCAGAGGGGGAUGGAAUUCCGCGUGUAGCAGUGAAAUGCGUAGAUAUGCGGAGGAACACCGAUGGCGAAGGCAAUCCCCUGGGCCUGCACUGACGCUCAUGCACGAAAGCGUGGGGAGCAAACAGGAUUAGAAACCCCAGUAGUCC
rnacentral:rRNA from 1 species